rnacentral:rRNA from 1 species
AGAGUGAACGCUGGCGGUAGGCCUAACACAUGCAAGUCGAACGGCAGCACUGUGGUAGCAAUACCAUGGGUGGCGAGUGGCGGACGGGUGAGGAAUACAUCGGAAUCUACCUUUUCGUGGGGGAUAACGUAGGGAAACUUACGCUAAUACCGCAUACGCCCUUCGGGGGAAAGCCGGGGAUCGCAAGACCUGGCGCGGAUAGAUGAGCCGAUGUCGGAUUAGCUAGUUGGUGAGGUAAUGGCUCACCAAGGCGACGAUCCGUAGCUGGUCUGAGAGGAUGAUCAGCCACACUGGAACUGAGACACGGUCCAGACUCCUACGGGAGGCAGCAGUGGGGAAUAUUGGACAAUGGGCGCAAGCCUGAUCCAGCCAUACCGCGUGGGUAGAAGAAGGCCUUCGGUUACGUAAAGCCCUUUUAGUUGGAAAGAAAGCAAUCGGUUAA